GUGAGGAAUAUUGGUCAAUGGGCGCAAGCCUGAACCAGCCAUGCCGCGUGCAGGAAGACGGUCCUAUGGAUUGUAAACUGCUUUUAUUUGGGAAUAAACUCCGGUACGUGUACCGGCCUGAAGGUACCAAAUGAAUAAGCACCGGCUAACUCCGUGCCAGCAGCCGCGGUAAUACGGAGGGUGCAAGCGUUAUCCGGAAUCAUUGGGUUUAACGGGUCCGCAGGCGGUCUUAUAAGUCAGUGGUGAAAGCCUACAGCUCAACUGUAGAACUGCCAUUGAUACUGUAGGACUUGAAUUCGAUCGAAGUGGGCGGAAUGUGACAUGUAGCGGUGAAAUGCUUAGAUAUGUCACAGAACACCGAUAGCGAAGGCAGCUCACUAGGUCUGGAUUGACGCUCAGGGACGAAAGCGUGGGGAGCAAACAGGAUUAGAUACCCGAGUAGUCC
rnacentral:rRNA from 1 species